CGGUGCGGAAGGGGAGGGAGUCGCCGGUCCCUCCGCGCUCCGCCUCUCUCCGCGCUUCUGGGAGUUGUAGGCGCCCGCUUUUCCUCAGAGGGGGACAUUUUGAGAGCGAAUUUGUGGGGCGAGAGGGGGCUGAGCGACUACAGCUCCCAGGGCGCACCGCGCCGCCCGACAUUUCGCAGCCCGUGCUGGGCCGGUCUCGGGGCCCCCGGGGGCCGGGGGGAGGGCACGGCACCGCCGCCUCCCUCCGCAGUCUGGAAAAAAGUCGUCACAGCUUUUGUUCUCAUCGGAAAAGCAGGGCUUGGCCGCAACGAGAACACUUCAGAGGAAGUGUCUGGUUUCUUUGUGUUUUGGUUUUUCUUUCUUUUUUUUUUUCUUUUUUUUUUUUUUUUUUACCUUCUUACGUGUUUAUUUUCAAAACAGAAAACCCCCAGUCACUCGAGGCAUAAAACCAUUAUCCGUAACAAAAAAAAAAGUUUCCACUGCCUGUCCCAGAAGAACAUUUUUUGCGCGUGUGUCAAGAAGCAGAGCUCUGUCUGAAAAUGUUUUAUUGGUGUUGGCCAAAGAGGCUUGACCUUUUUUUUCCCCUUAUUUCAGCAAACAGUUUAAAUUUUCAGCACAAAUACAUUUCCCCCGUGGCUUCAGUACUCAGCUUGUUUUCCCUAUGUUUAGGAAAAAGUAUUCGGUGUGCCAGGGGGCUUUGCCAGGCAAGGUUGUGGCUGUGGAGGCUUCACUGGCUCCUUUCAAGCUGGGCCUCACUGUGAGUCACCCAUAAUAUAAACUGCAGCCACUUCAAAUGCAUCCUCAGUUUUUAAAUACAUACUUUUGCCUGCUGGAGUGUUGCUAAUUACAAUAAUUUAUGAGACGAGGGCUGUGUUUGGAAUGCAUUUGGCAGCAAUGAUGGGAUUAGUGCAAAAUGUCUUCCAUCUAGCUGGAGUCAUGCUGUAGUUUUAAACCAACAGUUUUAGAGGUGUUUCCCCAUGUAGUGAUCCCAUUUUUUUAUGUAUACACAUUUGGCAGUAUGGUCACAAGAAUUCAAAUGGGUUCUCGGAGGGAAGAAAGGAAAACAUGAGUCUUCAAGUAGGUGAGCAGAAAUGGAAAGGAGGAGGGCAGUAAACAGGCAAAGGCAGCAAAGAGUAAACCCCCGGUAAAGGCUACCAGUGCUGUGUAACACUGUCUAGUGCACCAGGGACAGAGCAGGAGUGAGUACUUCAGUGUAGUAAGGAGCAGGCAAGAAAAGGAUGUGGAGUAAACAGUGGCAUGCCCCGUUUCUGUAAGGCUAGAGACAAGCAGGGUACAUCAUAGACUGGUGCAAACAAUGGCACUGUUUCUUGUUUUGAACACUGGUUCUGUGUUAGAUCAGGGGCUCAGAGGGGCAGAAGAGGGCAACACUACCUCGCUGUAUCACAUGGGGAUGUGUGUGCUUUCAGGGACAGGCCAUAUUUCUCCAUUUCCAGAGGCUACAAGUUCUCAUUUUUUUGCCUGGAUGCUGUGAAUAUUGAUAACCAAGGUCACCUUUGGAAGCUGAAUGUAGGCUUUUCCUCCUUCCUGUUUUUUUAUUCAGAAGAUUUAGUAUUGCACACUGCAGGGAACUGGGGAAGAGCUGCUCAUUCUCUGGUGGCUGAGGACAAGACAGCUUGCAGCAGUGGAUAUACUGGUGUGUUGGGAUUUUCGCUAUUGCUUGGCGACAGCUGAAAUAAAAAUAAUGAGUCAGAGUCUGAAGACGAACAGAUGGUAAAGUGUUUUCCCCUUCCUGGCCUGAACUGAGGUGGCUUGAAGAGGGUUGGGGGCUGGAAGGUGGAUCUGAGCUGCAGCACAGGACAUCAUCCAAAUGAGCGGGUUGUAUCCAGUGAGUGGGCUCCAAGGGGCCACUCAGUCACGGAGAUGGCCCCAUGUGUCUGCAGGAAGCCAGCGCGUCCCUGCGUGUGGGGGUGGCAUGUACAAAUGCACACCAGCCUCGGCCCCAGUACCGGCGCCUCCCGCUCCUGUCUUGCAAAUAAAUCUGUUGUUUGGCCCCCAUCCGGUGACUGUUUCCGCUGCUCUCUGGCAGUCUCCUGCUGCUGCUCCUGUGCUCAGAGCCUGGGGUAGGCGCCUGGCAGGGACUGCUGGCCCCUCUCCUUGCGGCUGUAGGAAAGUGGCAGGCAAUUCCCCAGGAGCCACACAGAUCCUAUAAGCCAGACAGAGCAAUAAGAUGCGUUUUCACCAUCUCCUGCAUCUGGAAGGAGUAUGGAGCAUGCCUGAUACCAACAGCAGUGAUGAAGGGCUGAAAGGGGUCGAGGGAACCAGCUGAGGGCCUUGAAGUUUACAUUAACAAAAAACUCAGAACCCUAAAGCUCCCUAGAUCUCUUGUUUGAACAAGACCUAAUGGGGUUUCACUAACCAACACAACUUUGCAGCCAAUGCCAAGCCUUGCAUUUAACAGCACUAGUCCUUGCUGGAGGAAAUCUCAGCAGUUUACUCACAGCCGGCAGACAGGGUGUUGUGUGCAUGCUGUCUCACCUGGCCUAACACCACCACCUCUUCGGUACUCAACAAAGCUGUGUUCUGACAUGAGGGAACACCCUCGCAAAGCAGGGCCAAGAAACAUCUUUUUUUUUUUUUAAAAAAAGAAAAAGGAAAAGGUGUGAUUAAUUAGAAAUGUUACUUGCAACCAUUGGCACUUGAGAUGGGCCAUCUAAAUCCAGUGAGAAACACCAGGCAGUCCGCAGCAUGCCUGGUUGCACAAUUUAUGUACCCUCUAAUGUGUCUGCAAGUGUGAAAACAACUUGGGCUUCAGUUAUGCAGCAGUUUUAGCAGCUAGGAGGUGUUGUCUGUUUGCUCCAGGUCCCUGGGUACUACAGUGAAAAAAGCAUCAGGCUGCCAGAGUCAGACAAGCUGCCAGAGGUUGGCUGAAGAGGUUACACCACACACUUCUGUGACCUCCUGCUUGGGUUAUGCCUUGUGCAAGGAAAUGUGAUGCUCUCCAGGCUGAAACUGAGUGGUCAGAUAACAAUACGCAGCCUCUGUCUAGUUCAGGUGCACAGCGUUGUACAUAUGGGACUUGAGAUUCAUAGUCUGUGUCUUUACCACUUAAUCAAGAGCUGGUCAAGUAGUUAAUUGUUUUCCUUUCCCCUUCAGCACCCACUGGUGACAGAUGUUUCCUCCCUGGGGGCUGUAUUUCCACUCUUGCGGACUCUCUGGUGCAGCCCCAGUUUGCAGCCCUAUCACAGCCCUUACAGUGAAAAAGUUUGUUGAAGUUUGUUUUUCAGAACAAUCUUGUUUGUUGUCAGCUGCUUUGCCUUAGGGCUGAAACUCCCUCCUCUCCCCUAACUGGAAGGGGCACACUGCCAUGCCCAGCACAGGAAAAGGGGUUAAGAGCAGGAAUGUGAGCACAGCACAUCCUUCAUCACGGAGCCCAGGAAGCAGAGCUGGCAGGCAGAGGGAGGGUGCGGCCAGAUCCAGCAGUGUGGGUGCUUUCUCCUACAGAAACCUCCACCAUAAACAGCUCUGGCAUGGGAGAGCUGGCUGGUUUUAUAUCCUCCUGUGAGAAUAUUGCAAAUCUUAGUUAGAGCUUAGACAACCUCUGAUUACAGAAUGCAAUAAGCAAUUUAUACAUGUUAGUUGCAGCUGUCUUAGUAGGAAACCAUUAGGCACAUUGCUAUUUAAAAAAACAAACAGUCCAGAAGAGCCUUACGAAACACAGCUCGCCAAAGCAAAAACUACCUUCAAAACUUCUCGUUAGAAACACUCUAGGAGGUUUUAAUAAGAAAAAAAAAAAAACAGUUUAGGAGGGAGGAGGAAAAGAAUUCCACUGGAAAAAAUCCCAGCUUGGUCUAGCUUAGAAAAAUUCAUGCCUGUGUUUUUAUUAUCUGAAAAUUCUUGUUUCAUUAAAAAAAAAAAAAAAAAAGAUUCCCUAGUCAUAUUCCUAGGCAUCGGAAUUCCACAGUAAGGUCUCCAGUGACUUUCGAAGUCCCUCAGACAUCUGGAGAAAAAUGUUAAAGAGAAGUGUAAGCCAGGGUCGUCCAUGCAAUAUGAGCACAAACGGGCUGGAAGCAUUCCACCCGCCUGUUCUCCUCACAGUGGGUUAUCUAUGUGGCCUCACAUGCUCCUGCAUGGCAGGACUGUUGUUUUCCAAGAAUAACCCAUAUCUUCACUCAACAGCACCUCAAAGGGGCCUAGUUUGCCUGGUUCUCUCCCAGCAUCACGUUCAACUCAUCUGUUUCAAGCACACCAGUGCAAAUACUCAGACUUGAAGUGCAAAGAGGGACUGCAUUUAGCCAGGAAGGUUUAAGAUCCCAGCUAUACUUCCAGGCUGAGGUCCCAAGGCACACACCCUGGAUGCUAAAUACUGCCAUGCUUUGCCAGUUAGCCUGCACUAUUGUUUCUCCCCCUCUUGAACACCAGCCCGGUUCUGACAGUGACUCACAUCGGCUUAAUCCUAGCUCCAGAGGCAGGAAUAAUUUUAUCCCCAUCUGGAGCAACAAUGCAGUGCCACAAUCCAAAUGUUUUAAGACAUGAAGCAAAAAGCAUCACAUUCAUGGGAAACCACCUAGAGGGUCAGCUGAGGACGGCAUUCCCUGCAGCCUGAAUUUUACUUGAAUCUGAGAAUGAGACAACCCUGUUCCCUUGGAAGACAUGGCAGAAAUCUGUACAUGACAGAAAGAAACAAGAUCUGACAACACAUCAUUAAAAAUCCACUAACAAGGGUGAUUGCUUUGUUUCUUUUUUAUUGUUUUUAAAUAUCACUUUUUUUUUUUCUUUCCAGAAGUCAUUAUGUCCGACUCCAUUAACAUUCAGGUAAACAAGUGAAAGAACAACAGAUGGGCAUGAUCUUGUAGCACAGGCACAGCCGCUGGGAGCAGGACUUGCCUUUCUUUGGGGCAGCUGAACGUUUCUCUCCCUCGCCCGCAUUCCCUCCCUCUCUCUACCAGCAAGGGUGAUGGCUGGCAACUGCCGCAGGACAUUUUUCUUCAAACACAGCAAGAAGUCCAAGACAGGACAGAGAAAGGCAGGCAGUUGUGGGAUCACAGCACUUGGGACUCCCACUUUGCUCUCAGCCAGGCUUUCCCCUGAGGGUGUGGAGAGGCAGGUGGGAGCAGCAACAGUGGCAUUACCAGACCAUCCACAAAAACCAGCCCAGCCCCCAUCCAGAUGGCAGCAGAGGGCAUUUGGGGACAUUUUCAGUCACUUCAGGAGAAGCCCCUUGAGUGUGUGCAGUACUGCCACCUCCUCCCCCCUGAAUUUCAGCACAGUCACUCUGUUUUGCAAUCCACAUUAGCUCCCCCACAGCUGUGCCCCUCUUCCCUUGAGGGUGAGGCACAACUGCAGCAGCCACCACUGCUGGCAAGCAACCUUCUUGCCUUCCCUCGGCACUAUUCUGAUGCAUCCCAGCCUGCCUGCAGGCCCCCCUCCCAGAGGCUGUAAAAACCCGUGCUGUUGAAGCCUGGUUCACAAAGCAUCCUGGUGUUAAGGUUAACUGGUUGUAAAAUUGCAGCAGUUCAUCACACUAUGCACACUAUGAGAAAUGUUUAUUAAAUUGAUUUUCGUUUCAUUUCUUUAAAAAAAAAAGGCAGAAAGAAGUUAAACACACUGCUUUGUGGCAUGCUCCACAGUAUGAAAAAAUCCCAAGCAUUCAGUUAAGCUGUCAGCGGCUCUGUUUGACCUUUCAGUGUGGUCUUUGAACUCAGACCUGGACAGUUGACACUCCUCCACCAGCCUCUUUCCUCCUCCCUGCUUCAGCUCACAGCCAUUUUCUCAGCUGUCACUAGCUCCAGGAGGGAUGUUCCCAUGGAGAGGGAGGGGUUUGUAUUGACAGCUUGCAAUUUAAUCUCUUUUUUUUUUUUGGGUUGUGGAGGGGAGCAGUACAGGGCACCAUGUUGCACACAAAUGCUAAGAUAUGCAGGAGAGGGGCUGAGGCAGAGCAGGGGUCCUACCUAGUGGUUUCCCCCCUUCACCUCAGCCAGCUUUGGGACUGACCAACUGGCAGAAGAGCCCUGUGGCUUUUGGAUCCUGAAUGCUUGCAAUGGGGCAAGUCCUCAGCCCUUCACAGCUCCCUCUCUACUUUGUGUUAACUCAGGUCCAGCUUCACAGGAGACCCAAGUGGGUAGUUUUUUCUGGGAGGGUUUCUCAGUUACUUCAUCAUUCUUAAGCAUGACAGUUCCUCUCUGUCCCUGGGCUGACCCCUCCUGCUACAGCUGAUGACCAUUCCAUCAAGUGUGGGGACUCGGUAACUCUAAAAGCAUUGCCCUCUCCUGCAAACAUCCUUCUGUCUCUUCUCCCAUGACCUUCCCAGCUGCUAGCUGUUCCCCUCCUUCAGCACCUUUCCUGCAGCAGCCACAGGAACAGGAGGCAGCCCAGGAAGCUGCCUCUGUAGCUCUCCUCAGUGACAAGCCACCUCUGAAAUGAACCAGAGGGCAAACUGCAGUCCCUGCAGGACAGAGUCUUAGCAAACUUCCUGCUCUUCCUCCUAAAGCUCUCAGAUUCUCUCCCCAAGUACCACUUUCUGCCAAUUGCUCCUGCCUGGGACAACCCAAACCCCUAAAGGUACACUGUCCAAGGACACACCCGACCUGCAUCGAGACCCAGCCUGUCUUCAAACAGAGCUCCAGCUGCAUACACAGCAUCAACUGAAUACUGAACAAUAUCAAAAAUAUGGUAUAAGGAAAGAAAACAGAACUGAAAUGCGUAAUGGCAUAUUUAUACACAUUUAUCAACAGUCAACAAAAAAGGCGGCAAGUUACACAUCCAUUCUGUAUGCUAACAAUCUCGAUGCACAUAGAUGUAAACACACAUGCUUGGAUGAUGCGUAUACAUAUAGCCACAUAACAGAGUAGAUGACCUGAAGGAGCUACGCUGGGGAGCAGGGGAAGGGGUUACCUACUGCAAAACCUCACCUCGUUCUCGAUGUGCACAACAUGGACAUUCAGGGCAGUGUUGCUUUAAGGCUAUAUCUAAGGCUGAAUCUUUUCUUGUCUGACCCCUCAAUAUAAAGAUCUGUUGAAGCACUUCCUCCUCUUACCCAGCACAACUUGAGAUAUAUAUAUAUAUAUAUUUACCUAUAUAUUUUUUAAAGGCCCUAUAUACUAAAAGGCAGGAAUAGGAAAGGGGAGAGUCAAAGGGAGGAAAAUCUUCUCAAUGGAUCAGUUUGCCCCAGUGCAGGAAUUUUCUAUGAUGUAGUGGCAAUGGCCAUGGCAACCAUAUGCAGCGAACAAGGUACUAGUUUAAAAUGAUCAAUGAUCACAGGUCUCCCUCCCUAUCAGAUCUGAAGCUCUUUGUUGCAACAAAGGGGGAGAGUGAAAUACUUUAAGAAACAGAAAUAUUCCUGAAGUGGGGAAAGUGAUCACUAAUUUAAACUCCUCCCCUUACCUGCUUCAAGGUGGCAAAAAGCUGAGAGAUACUGUAAUUUCCAGCUCAAGUGCCUGUACGGCUAAGGGAAAGGCUUUGCUUAAAAAUAUAUAUCUAUAGAACUAUACAUACAGAUAAUCUUUUUAGUGACAUUCUGAUUUUAUUACAUAGCUCCUGGGUCACUCCCCCUCUAUCUACAUGGUAAUGGAGUGGCAUACAAAAGAAGCCACAUACAUCAAAUUGAUAACCAAAGUUACCAGAUCACAAGAAUGUGUUUCAACUGGUACGAUCUAAAAUCCUGAAUUCCCUUGACUUUAUAAGCUGUUCUAUUCUUGAUAUAACUGGAAGGUCUUAAAAAUAAACUUUUUUUUUUUUAAAUCAGAUUAUGACAAUUUCCCAGCAAUAUUACAGUGUGUGACAAUGUGCCAUAAUUAAAGAAAAUUUAAUUGAACAAGAUAGUGAUGCAAAGAUGAAAUUUUAAGGAUUAUGCAUAUGGUUGGGAACACCCAAGUGUCAUCCUGCAGUACAUAAAAGCAGUCUAAAGUCUGCUAAAAGAUUUCUAAAAUCAGGAACUAUUUUUUUAAUGUUUUUUCUUUUUCCAAUAUAAUUUCUGUGUAAGCAUUAGCUUAACAGUGGAAAGUUGAUAUAGAACUAGACUGUCCCCAAAACAUAUGUCUACAAUGAAAUAUUGAAGGAGGUUAAAAAAGUAACUUAAUUUUCAGUUUAUAUUUGAAAAACUGGGGCUAUAUUUGAAAAACUGAGACUAAAAUUCACCCUCUGACCUUUUAAUGUAAUGAAUGAAUGGAAAUGAGCAAAUUUAUAAAGUUAUAGCCCCAAGGAAAACAAAACCCCAUAAAACCAAAAACCAUUUUUACACUUUAUAGAGUAAAAAAAUUUAAGCAUGACCUCUGUUAAGGAUUGACCUAUCGAUGCAAACAGGUCAGAGAGGAACAAUGUGCCCGAGUUUCCCCUGGGUUACAUCGCACCCAGGCAACAGAGGCUCUUUCCUCUCCUCUCCUCUCUCCCAGGCUUCAGGCAGUCAGCCAGGCUUCCCUGUGGACAGCCUGGAAAUGCCAGGGAGUUGGGGUGAUGGUUGGAAAAGAUGAGUACAAAUUAACAAAACCACUAAAAUCUGCUUCAGCAUCCAGUAAAAAAAGUCAGUAAAACCAAGGCAAAAUUUUUCUGGUAACAGGCUGCAGCCUUCUCCUCUGCACAUCUUCCACCAAUGUUACUUCUGAGUUACUGGGGGUGGGGAAGGGGGAGGAAGGACUUGAUCUCCUGCUACAGCAGCUUUCCCAUCACACAAAACUGAUGUGUAACUAACUCAGCCACAAAGAUACGGGAAAGUUUGAUUUAUUAAACAAACAAAAAAAAGUACUUCAAAAUAAAAAUGGUAAGUACUGUAUGGUAAUAUUGGAAGCAUUUAUAUACAUAGUUUUCUUUGUCUGUUGUUGAAAUGUCUCCUGGUCACUUGGUGGCACUUGGGGUCCCCUCUAGCGCCGUCUUCCCUGCUCCCCCCUUCCCCUCCCCGGCUCUCACGGCUCAGUAGACGGAGCUGUUCCUUAUGCCACAGCACAGCACCAUGCUCAGGAUCAUCUCGAAGAUCUGUUGAGAGACACGGGGGCACCAGUGAGGCACCAAUCAGUAUGAUGCAGGUCCCCCACUGCAUCCUAAGGUCCCCCAAUCCACUCUCAUGCCAGAGGUAAGUGCAGAGAUGCUACAUCUUUGCUGCUGUUUUCAUUAGGAGUUGGCCAGUUUGAGAUAAGAUGAUGUUCUCCUGUCUCUCUCUGGCAGCAGUGGUGUUACAUUACAAGCUUCCUGGCUGCCAACUGCACAGCAAAUGCCUCGAGAUCGCUCCAGCAUUACAGCCCAGCCUUUGUACAGGCGCCGGGUUACCAGCCCAUGCCACCCACCCCUCACUAGGGAGCAAACCCAACAUGGCAAAACAAGCAAAUCCUUUCCCACUGCAGACCCCAGCAACAGAACACGGCACCCUGUGAAACAAGUGGUUUUGGAGGCAGCGAGCAGGUUUCAAUGGUGCUCUGCCCUUCUGGACGGGCUUGCAGGUGGCUCUUGCUCCACUGAGCUUGUCACGUGCCUCCCCUAACAACUCAACUCCAUGGAGGGAUAACAAAGCCCUCAGUCUUGCCAUGUUCCAAAGCAGCUGAGGUGCACAGGGCUGGUGCUGCAUGCUGAGCUGCAGGAGCAUCUGGAGGAGAGGGAUGGAUCCAGCCCAGCUGGAAAAGGACCACGGCACCCCGAGGUGGCUUUUCCCUGUCCCACCAUGCUGUCAUGCUUACCAUGAUCACAGCGACCACGACAGCAGCGAUACCAAUCAGGUACAGCUUCCCAGAGAACAGGUCAUCGAUUUUUCUGUGGCAGUUUGAGUUCUGAA